rnacentral:rRNA from 1 species
ACAAUAAAUCACAAUGCGGGACUGUUAGUCUUGCAAUUGGAUUGAGAACAACGUACAACUCUUAUCGAUAAGCCAUUGGAGGGCAAGUCUGGUGCCAGCAGCCGCGGUAAUUCCAGCUCCAAUAGCGUAUAUUAACGUUGUUGCAGUUAAAAAGCUCGUAGUUGAAGUGAGGGAGUGUGUGGGUAUGAGAGCUAGUCUCAAGUACUUACAACCUCCCCCCUCCAAUCGGUGUAGUGGGGUAUUCAGUUCAGUUAUUCUACUACUCCUUUGGUCGUUUACUGUGAGAAAAUUAGAGUGUUCAAAGCGGGCGUUUGUUUGAAUAGAUUAGCAUGGAAUAAUGAUUGAAGGCUUUCGUGUUCGAUUUGAUUGGUUUGUUCAUGGAAGCAAGGUUAAAAGGAACAGUUGGGGGUAUUCAUAUUCACUAGUUAGAGGUGAAAUUCUCGGAUUUAUGGAAGAUGAACA